rnacentral:rRNA from 1 species
AUUGAACGCUGGCGGCAGGCUCAACACAUGCAAGUCGAGCGAGCGGCGGCCGGGUGAGUAAUGUCCGGGAACCUGCCUGAUGGAGGGGGAUAACUCCUGGAAACGGUAGCUAAUACCGCAUACCAUCAGAUCUGCCCAGAUGGGAUUAGCUAGUAGGUGGGGUAACGGCUCACCUAGGCGACGCUCCCUAGCUGGUCUGAGAGGAUGACCAGCCACACUGGAACUGAGACACGGUCCAGACUCCUACGGGAGGCAGCAGUGGGGAAGAUUGCACGAGGGGAGCAAGCCUGAUACAGCCAUGCCGCGUGUAUGAAGAAGGCCUUCGGGUUGUAAAGUACUUUCAGCGGGGAGGCGUUACCCGCAGAAGAAGUACCGGCUAACACCGUGCCAGCAGCCGCGGUAAUAC